CUUUGUUUGUAUGUGGUGCUGAGGAUCGAACCCGGGCCGCACGCAUGCCAGGCGAGCGCGCUACCGCUUGAGCCACAUCCCCAGCCCCGAGCCUAUGUUUUUCUUUUUUGCAGGGCUGGGGACGGAACUGGGACCUCAUACUUGCUGGCAAGUGCCCUUCUGCUGAGCUAAGCCCCCGCCUUCUGUGAGCCCUUUGCCUAGGGACAGGGCCCUAGGCCAUGCAGGGCUAAUCCUCCCACUGUCCCCUGCUCCCUCCACAAGACCGCACAGGCCUAAGGCGACACCUCUUUGUAGCUUUUGGGUCUUCUCAAGAAGCCACACCAAUGAGGUCUCCCAAUUCUAGGGACUGAUGGGAGGUCACCCAGAAAUGUGGUUCUACCCAGAAAAGAUGCUAGAAAAAAAUAAGUGCUGUCACGGCGGUGUCCUAACAGAAAGGACCUGUGAGUCCAGGGACAGCCAGAGCGUCCUUGUGAAAUGGAGGUGCGUCCUGUGCAGUGAACUUGGCUCCGUGGACAACGUGUUCCAUUUCCGCGGGGGCUGGUGGGAGGGACAUGUGGUCAGGGUUGUUUCUCUGGCCUGGAGGCCUCGGGGUGGUGACGUCCCUGGACCCAACCCCUCUGGUGCUCUUGGCCACCUGGACUCCUGAUGGAACUGCACUGCCCCGAAUGGCUCUUCUUGGUCACACCCUUCCGGCCCCCUGAGCCUUGGAUGUCGCCACGCCACGGUGUCUGUGGCCAGCUGUUU
rnacentral:lncRNA from 1 species